UUCUCCACUCCCACUGCUUCACUUGAC
rnacentral:piRNA from 3 species